UACGUAGGUGGCAAGCGAUACUCGGAAUCACUAGGCGUAAAGCGCAGGUAGGCGGUUCGGUAAGUCUUUUGUGAAAGCUCCCGGCUUAACUGGGAGAGGUCAAGGGAAACUGCCGGGCUAGAGUGUGGUAGGGGAUACUGGAAUUCCUGGUGUAGCGGUGAAAUGCGUAGAUAUCAGGAGGAAUACCUAUGGCGAAAGCAGGUAUCUGGGCCAUCACUGACGCUGAGCUGCGAAAGCUAGGGGAGCAAACAG
rnacentral:rRNA from 1 species